AUGGACGGCCAUGUCGGAGAUCAGCCUUACGAGUUCUUCAUCAGGCUGUACAAGCACGUGUGCGGCCAUCUCCGCCUCCCUACCCCGUUUGCUCGGGUGAUGGAGCAGGAUCCGACGCAGGCUUUGAGGCUACACAUGAGGGGCUGCCGGAACAGCAGCAUGUGGGUCAAUGUCGACUUCCCCCGCCCUCACGUCAUGUAUCUUCGUCAUGGGUGGAAAACCUUUCCACGCGCCCACAACUUGUCGGAGGGGCAUGUUCUCCAUUUCAAGUUAAUGGAGAAUGGCUUGCUCUCUGUCAAGGUCUUCGGGAGCUCAGGAAUCCACUUAGGGUGCCGCAUGGAGAGUUCCACCGACGACCAAAGCUCCUCCUCGAGCGACCCUGACAAGGAGGACAGCGCCAGUGACGAUGACGGCAGCGGGCUGGAGGACGAUGACUCCGACUCCAACUUGCCAUCAGUUGUAGCACCAUCAUUUGCUCUACCUCCUCCCCCGGCAACAGGCCUUGAUGGGGGUUGCGUCCUGCUGGCUCUGGUGUAG
rnacentral:rRNA from 1 species